UGCUGGAGUUGUUACUGCAGUGGACGGUGUGCACUUUGUCACGGAGAAAAUUGUUUCUCAUGAUGGCGUCAUCCCGGAGUGGGGCGUUAGAUCAAGCAUUAUGUCGUCUGGUCAACUAGUGACAUAACAGUCGGGUGGUUAUAGUCGCAUAUGAUGGAGAUUUUUUUUUUUAAAGCGAGGUUUGUCCGUUUUGGUUGAGAUUUUUUUAAAUGCUGAAGUGGAAGGAGGAAAGACGUAAUAGGGGAGUGACGGGUUCGGUGAUUAUUUAAUUGGCGAAGGAAAAAUGAGUUUUUAGGAGGAUGAGAAUAGGCUUCUGGGAAAAUGACAUUGUAAAGUCAAUCAGCCGUAGAAACACCCCAAUAAUUGUCAACUCCUCCCAUCGUCCCACGGUAAAAACAAAGGCUAUUGGACUCGGCUGAAUUCGCCCGAUGAACCGAAACAAGUUCGUGUAGAAUCGGCGCCUAGAUGUGAUGACAAGGGGAUGUGGUGCAAGGGGGAUGAGACAACCGGCGACACAAACGGAACACGGAAAAAUGUGUAUUCGAAUGGACAACCCCUCUUUCCCGCCGCUUCUCCCCCCAACCCCCCACCAUAGGAGGAGAAUGUUCAAGAGACUGUAGUUACGCAUGCGCUGAGUUACGCGGGCAAACAUAAUCGUUCGUUAUGCGUGCGUCAGCGUAAACACUCGGGCCAAUGUAGUUGUACUUCUCUGGAUGAAUAAUUUAUAAUUAGAAUGAAAAAUUAAUUAUCGAGAUUGUCAAACAUCUUUUCAGUCCAUCAAGAAGAAAGUAAUUAUGUUAAGGAAUUAUUGAGAAUUUUUCGACUUUCUGAGUAAUCUUUUGCAAAUAUUCACUAAAAUUGGCGAACAAUGUUGAAAAAUAAUUGCGCGGGUAUCAACAUUCGCGAGUUAUUGAAUAAUGACGAAAGUAGAAAUUAUAUUUUUUCAUGUCGAUCUAGUCUAUGAUUUGCCAGAAAUUUAUAUAUAUUUAAAUAUACAUAUAUAUGUAUAUUUAUAUUGGCAAUAACUCCUUGAGUUGAUAAUAAAGAACAGAAGUGAUUUUUUUAUUUGAAAAUGGAA